rnacentral:lncRNA from 1 species
ACCCUCUUGGAUACACAAGAUUCUUCUUCAUUUUUUAUGAAAUUAAACAAUUUGAUUGCCUCAUCAAAAUGAUGGUUCCAACUUCGAGAAGCUUGCUUUAUGUUAGGAAUUAUGUCCUAAAAAGUCAAUCAUUUUAUGAUUGUGCUGAUUAUAAAUGUAUAUGAAUUGAUAAAUGAUAAAAGUUAUUUGAUAUUUUUCAUUACAAGGUUAUAUCUUCUAACAAACUCUUAUGUUGUGAUAAAGUCUUUAGGACUACUUUGAUCAAUAAAGGAGGAUUUAUCGC